AAGGGAUUGCAACCAGACUUGCUCGCGGUGUUCCGCCGGUCUUCUGACCGGUUCACUCGCCGCGUUGCAGGCCAGCAUCGUCUGGGGCCGCUGGAUAAGACUUUGGGAAUGUAGCUCCUUCGGGAGUGUUAUAGCCCAUCGUGAUACAGCGAGCCCCGGGCGAGGUCCGCGCUUCGGCUAGGAUGCUGGCGUAAUGGUUGUAAUCCG
rnacentral:rRNA from 1 species